rnacentral:rRNA from 1 species
GUGGGGAAUAUUGGACAAUGGGCGCAAGCCUGAUCCAGCCAUGCCGCGUGAGUGAUGAAGGCCUUAGGGUUGUAAAGCUCUUUUGUCCGGGAAGAUAAUGACUGUACCGGAAGAAUAAGCCCCGGCUAACUUCGUGCCAGCAGCCGCGGUAAUACGAAGGGGGCUAGCGUUGUUCGGAAUCACUGGGCGUAAAGCGCACGUAGGCGGACCAUUAAGUCAGGGGUGAAAGCCUGGAGCUCAACUCCAGAACUGCCUUUGAUACUGAUGGUCUCGAUUAUGGAAGAGGUUGGUGGAACUGCGAGUGUAGAGGUGAAAUUCGUAGAUAUUCGCAAGAACACCGGUGGCGAAGGCGGCCAACUGGUCCAUUACUGACGCUGAGGUGCGAAAGCGUGGGGAGCAAACAGGAUUAGAUACCCGGGUAGUCC